GACGAACGCUGGCGGCGUGCCUAAUACAUGCAAGUUGAGCGCUGAAGGGUGGUACUUGUUCCAACUGGAUGAGCAGCGGACGGGUGAGUAACGCGUGGGGAAUCUGCCUUUAAGCGGGGGACAACAUUGGGAAACGAAUGCUAAUACCGCAUAAUAACUUUAAACACAAGGUUUAAGUUUGAAAGAUGCAAUUGCAUCACUCAAUGGUGAUCCCGCGUUCUCUUAGCUAGUUUGUGAAGGAAAGGCUCACCAAAGGGAAGGUACAGAGCCGACCUUGGAGGGUGGUCCGCCACAUUGGGACUGGGAACAGGCCCCAACCUCCUCCGGGAGCAGCCGUAGGGAAUCUUUGGGAAUGGAGGGAAGGCUGACCGGGCAAAGCCGGGGGGGGGAAGAAGGGUCUCGGAUCGGAAAACUCCGUUUGUAGGGAAGAAAGAUGGUGAGAGUGGAAAGCUCAUCACGUGACGGUACCUACUCAGAAAGCGACGGCUAACUACGUG
rnacentral:rRNA from 1 species